rnacentral:rRNA from 1 species
AUUGAACGCUGGCGGCAUGCUUUACACAUGCAAGUCGAACGGCAGCGCGGGCUUCGGCCUGGCGGCGAGUGGCGAACGGGUGAGUAAUGCAUCGGAACGUGCCCAGUAGUGGGGGAUAGCCCGGCGAAAGCCGGAUUAAUACCGCAUACGACCUGAGGGUGAAAGCGGGGGACCGAAAGGCCUCGCGCUAUUGGAGCGGCCGAUGUCGGAUUAGCGAGUUGGUGGGGUAAAGGCUUACCAAGGCGACGAUCCGUAGCUGGUCUGAGAGGACGACCAGCCACACUGGGACUGAGACACGGCCCAGACUCCUACGGGAGGCAGCAGUGGGGAAUUUUGGACAAUGGGGGCAAACCUGAUCCAGCCAUGCCGCGUGCGGGAAGAAGGCCUUCGGGUUGUAAACCGCUUUUGUUCGGGAAGAAAUCCUCUGGGCUAAUACCCCGGGGGGAUGACGGUACCGGAAGAAUAAGCACCGGCUAACUACGUG